GGCGCUGUGGCACAGUGGGUUAAAGCCCUGGCCUGAAGCGCCAGCAUUCCAUGUGGGCACUGGUUCAAAUCCUGGCAGCUCCU
rnacentral:tRNA from 1 species